AUAUGGCUCAGGAUGAACGCUAGCGGCAGGCCUAACACAUGCAAGUCGAGGGGCAGCACGGUGUAGCAAUACACUGGUGGCGACCGGCGCACGGGUGCGUAACGCGUAUGCAACCUACCCAUAACAGGGGGAUAACACUGAGAAAUUGGUACUAAUACCCCAUAACAUCAGGACCGGCAUCGGUUCUGGUUGAAAACUCCGGUGGUUAUGGAUGGGCAUGCGUUGUAUUAGCUGGUUGGUGAGG
rnacentral:rRNA from 1 species